rnacentral:rRNA from 1 species
CUACGGGUUGCUCCAGUGAGGAAUAUUGCACAAUGGGGGGAACCCUGAUGCAGCAACGCCGCGUGGAGGAUGACGCAUUUCGGUGUGUAAACUCCUUUUAUAUGUCAAGAAAAUGACAGUAGUAUAUGAAUAAGCACCGGCUAACUCCGUGCCAGCAGCCGCGGUAAUACGGAGGGUGCAAGCGUUACUCGGAAUCACUGGGCGUAAAGGACGCGUAGGCGGGUUGGAAAGUCAGGUGUGAAAUCCUACAGCUUAACUGUAGAACUGCACUUGAAACUUCUAAUCUAGAGUAUGGGAGGGGGGGAUGGAAUUAGUGGUGUAGGGGUAAAAUCCGUAGAUAUCACUAGGAAUACCUAAAGCGAAGGCGAUCUCCUGGAACAUUACUGACGCUAAGGCGUGAAAGCGUGGGGAGCAAACAGGAUUAGAUACCCCUGUAGUC